UACGAAGGGGGAGCUAGCGUUGUUCGGAUUUACUGGGCGUAAAGCGCACGUAGGCGGAUUGUUAAGUCAGGGGUGAAAUCCUGGAGCUCAACUCCAGAACUGCCUUUGAUACUGGCAAUCUUGAGUCCGGAAGGGGUGAGUGGAACUCCUAGUGUAGAGGUGGAAUUCGUAGAUAUUAGGAAGAACACCAGUGGCGAAGGCGGCUCACUGGUCCGGUACUGACGCUGAGGAGCGAAAGCGUGGGGAGCAAACAGGG
rnacentral:rRNA from 1 species